rnacentral:rRNA from 1 species
UAGCCUUGCGGCCGUACUCCCCAGGCGGGACACUUAACGCGUUAGCUACGGCACAGCAGACGUUGAUAAAUCCGCCACACCUAGUGUCCAACGUUUACAGCGUGGACUACCAGGGUAUCUAAUCCUGUUUGCUCCCCACGCUUUCGCUCCUCAGCGUCGGUACCGGCCCAGAGGACCGCCUUCGCUACUGGUGUUCCUCCCGAUAUCUGCGCAUUUCACCGCUACACCGGGAAUUCCAUUCUCCUCUACCGGACCCAAGCCACAACAGUAUCGACCGGCGUCCCAGGGUUGAGCCCUGGGUUUUCACGAUCGACUUGUUGAGCCGCCUACGAGCCCUUUACGCCCAAUAAAUCCGGACAACGCUUGCCCCCUACGUACUACCGCGGCUGCUGGCACGUAGUUGGCCGGGGCUUCUUCUGGAGGUACCGUCAAUUUCGUCCCUCCUGAAAGAGGUUUACAACCCGAAGGCCUUCAUCCCUCACGCGGCGUCGCUGUCUCAGGCUUUCGCCCAUUGGACAAGAUUCCCUG